GACGAACGCUGGCGGCGUGCUUAACACAUGCAAGUCGAACGGAAAGGCCCCCUUGUGGGGUACUCGAGUGGCGAACGGGUGAGUAACACGUGAGUAACCUACCCUUGACUUUGGGAUAACUUCAGGAAACUGGGGCUAAUAUCGGAUAGGAGCUCCUGCUGCAUGGUGGGGGUUGGAAAGUUUCGGCGGUUGGGGAUGGACUCGCGGCUUAUCAGCUUGUUGGUGGGGUAGUGGCUCACCAAGGCUUUGACGGGUAGCCGGCCUGAGAGGGUGACCGGCCACAUUGGGACUGAGAUACGGCCCAGACUCCUACGGGAGGCAGCAGUGGGGAAUAUUGCACAAUGGGCGGAAGCCUGAUGCAGCAACGCCGCGUGCGGGAUGACGGCCUUCGGGUUGUAAACCGCUUUCGCCUGUGACGAAGCGUGAGUGACGGUAAUGGGUAAAGAAGCACCGGCUAACUACGUG
rnacentral:rRNA from 1 species